rnacentral:rRNA from 1 species
AGCCAUUAGAUGAUAUUUAUGGUUAAACCUGCCCAAUGUGAUAUGAAUGGCCGCGGUACCUUGACCGUGCUAAGGUAGCGUAAUCAGUUGGCUUUUAAAUGGAGUCAGGAAUGAAUGGAAUAACCGGGUUUAGCUGUCUCCAUACUAUUUUUUUGAAUUUACUGUUUAAGUGAAAAAGCUUAAAGUUGAUAAAGGGACGAGAAGACCCUUAGAAUUUUUUUUAAAGCAUAUAUUUGCAAUAAUUUUGUUGGGGCGACAGAGAAAUAGUUAAAACUUUCUUUAAUUACAUGCCGAUAUUGCUAAGCAAGAAUAAAUUACCUGAGGGAUAACAGCAUUAUUCUACAGUUGAGUUUGUGACCUCGAUGUUGGACUAGGAAACUAACAGGCUAGCCGUUUGUUGUGUGGGUUCUGUUCGAACUUUAAUUCCUA